ACGGCCGGAAUCCUCGUCGGUGUUCGAUCAAACAACAACGUCGUUCUAACCAAACCAGUUCACUUCCUAGGGUCGGGCCGUCGCGCGGUGUUGUGCGUUUGCAGUGCUUAUUUUUCAUGAAAGGGUGAUAAAUAGUAUUCUGGUGCUUCCGUUCCAUUCCAGGGGUAAGGAACAGCCACCAAUGGAUAGCGAGUCAUCUCGUACCAAGUGAACGAUUAAGUGACUGAAACUGAAGCCGCAACAAUUGGUUCGUGUCAACCGGAUAGGAAAAGCAACCUGUACCACUCGGUCCGGCAUUCUGGAACAAGAGUGCCCGAACAAAAACGUUAGCGGCAAAACUACGGGGCCAGGAGAAGAUUGCGGCUUCCACAGCAUCGAAUAAGGGACACCGGCUCAACUCAUUUAAACUCAUCGAGUGACCGACGACGACGGAUCAGCACUGCCGGCUGCUGCUUUGUGAUUUUGCGCGGGAAAAUGUGACCGACCUUCUUACCUAAAUUGAGUGAGAGAGUGUCUGUACCUUUUACACAAAAUCCAUCCCACAUCGGGGGCAACUUGAAGAUGCUUCAUUGUUUCGAGUGCAGUAAAACAAAGCGGAAGUGCACGUGGGUAUCCAAUUCUGGAGCAGUUGCCGUCUAGUAGUGCAAACGUGUAAUAAUAAUACACAUGUUGUGUUUAUACGCGGUGACACAACCUCUUCAAUACACAAGCCGACGAUACGCUUCGAGUGUUCUUUUGUGAUUAAGCCCUCCCCCCCAAACCACAUACAUAUCUCUCUUUGAGUGCAACUCCCGGGAGAAGAGGGAGCUAAAGCUGCUUUUGUGUUGUUUUUCCUGAAGUUAUUGUGUGGAACAUCUGUGCGGUUGACGAAACAACAAAACGAAAAAAUGGCUGCGAAAGACAACCAGAAUCUGCUUGAAUCUUCCAGGACCAAUGGUUCCAUCAGUAUAGUCAGCGGCAAAGGUCCUCAUCACGAUGGCGAAAAGGCCCCAUUCCUACCCUCAGAACCCGUUCGGCUUACGCCGGCCUGGGAAGAGAACAAUCUUCCCAAUGAUGAACUCAACUUCAAAGGGAUGACCAUGGAGCGGGCCAAGAUGGAGCUGAACCCGCCCCGGGACAAACUGAUGCUGGUGUUCCUGAUUCUGAUGAUCCACGGUGUGGGGACGUUGAUGCCCUGGAAUAUGUUCAUCACUGCCAAAUCCUAUUUUGUAGAUUACAAGCUUAGUCAAAACUACACCGGUGUGGAGUCGGAAUACGGGACCUACUUCCUGUCGUACGUUGGCUUCGCCUCGCAGAUUCCGAACUUGCUGUUCAAUUGGUUGAACAUUUUCAUGAACCUUGGAGGCAAUUUGACCAAGCGGAUCGUCUACAGUAUACUGAUCGAGGUGAUUGUUUUCGUUGUGACCGUUGUGCUGGCCAUGAUCGAUUCCAGCGAGUGGCCGGGAGCCUUCUUCUGGAUCACCAUGAUCACCGUCGUCAUUCUGAACAUGGCCGGCGGUAUCUACCAGAACACCGUGUACGGAAUGGUGGCAAAACUACCCUUCAAGUACACCGGUGCCGUGGUGCUCGGGUCCAACAUCAGCGGUACGUUUGCUUCGAUAAUCGCCAUCCUUAGCCUGCAGUUUAGCUCCUCAUUCCGAACGGCGGCCAUCUAUUACUUUAUUACGGCCAUGUUCGUUCUGCUGCUAUGCUUCGAUACCUACUUUGCCUUGCCAUUGAAUAAAUUCUACCGGUACCACGAGAUGUUGAAGGAAAAGGAGGCCGAGGCCCAGAAGCGAGCAGGCCUUAAGGUCGGCGGAAGGCCUCCAUUCUGGACAAUCUUCAAGCAAGCCGGACCUCAGCUUUUCAACGUAUUUUUUGUAUUCUUCAUAACGCUCUCCGUCUUCCCGGCUGUCCAUUCGGACAUCAAACGUUCCGCGGCAGACUUCGUCAUCGGGGAUGAUCUGUAUGUGAGCGUAACCUGCUUCCUGACGUUCAACGUGUUCGCCAUGCUGGGAAGUCUAACAACCUCUUGGAUCACCUGGCCUAGUCCGAAGUACUUAGUGUGGCCAGUGGUUUUGCGGGCGGUAUUUUUACCACUGUUCCUGUUCUGCAACUAUCGGCCCCUGGGCGUAGAAAGACUGCUGCCGAUCUACAUCAACAACGAUUGGGUUUACUGGGGCAUUGCGAUAUUCAUGGCCUACAGUUCGGGUUAUCUGAGCUCUCUGGGAAUGAUGUACGCGCCGCAAACCGUCGAAUCACACCACGCCACCACGGCUGGCAUGUUUGCCGCCGCCAUGCUCAUCACCGGUAUCUUUUCCGGUAUUCUGUUCUCGAUGGUAUUUCCCUGGCUUGUGACGGUCAACUUCCUCGAGUGGCUACACUAGGGUUGGCGCUGGGGAAUCGGUUUGCUGAGCACCCUGGCCAGCUAGAUCCGUUUUCCGAGCACCGAUCGGUUAGUGUCGUCGUUUCGCGGCACACUUGCCUUCGUCGUUCAUCGAUUUACUAUUUGCAAGAAGAGAACAUAAACAACAUUGAACUCGUAUGCUCCGAGUGGCGCUCAAAUUAUUACUUUCUUUUGAUUUUCAAGUUUUAUUUUUAUCUUACUUCUCAUAUUCGGAAUGUUGGAUUUCUCAUCAUCCUCGGAACGAAACCAAAACGUAUGAUCCCACUUUAGUAGAACAUCGACUUCCAGCAGGACAAACAUAACAACUGAUUAGGGUAGAUCGUAGACUGAGACGUUUGUUCGUUAGCAGGACUCAACUAGCUUAUGCCAGUACUGAUUUCAUUAAUGAUUUGUUUGUCCCCAACUCUAGAAUCCACUGCUAAAAAGUUACGUUUAUUUUAAGUUAUACUAUUAGGAGAGAGCAAUUGGAACGCUCCAUGCGGGACGAUUGGUGUUUACGAUUAAGAAGCGUAGAGUACGAGCGAACCUUUAGUAGGUUUUUGAUGUCGCAGAUUGUUUAAGUUUAGCCUGUAGUUCCAUAAAUUUAAGUUUUGUUUUCUCGAUAAGUAUAUUUUUUUUACGGUAUAUUGUGUUUAUUUAUUUUCCUCUAUCCGAAGACUUGUGACCUUUGCUGGGAUUUCAUUUUGCACGUCUAAAAUCUAUUCAGGUUGACUACUGAUCUUGGUGAGAUACAAUGGUUUUGGAAGUAUUUUAUCUAAAACUGGGUCUAAAUUGUUUUAUUUGACCAGGGCUACAGUUGCUCUCACAAUUGUCCUUAGGAAACAGAAGCCAUUGCAUUGAUAUGUAAUGAUCUACAGUUUUUUAUAAAAAACUUGUUAACAUAGUUUAUUAGAGAAACUGUAGCCAAGGUCUAAUUGACCGGUUUAGACCCAUAUUUUCACUAGUCCAAAAUUCCGAACAAACAUUCCACUCGGGCGACCAGAUUCUAAUCAACAUUUUUUAGGACUGGUAUAAGAGAACCAGUAUCAGUAAAGCAAUAUAUGAAGCUCGUCGAAUAACACCUUCUAGCGCCACGUUGAACAUCAUGCAGGAUAGACCAUUGCCUUGUCGAAGCCCCCUGCGUGAUUCUAAUGAACUCGACAAUUCACCCGAUAUCCGCACACAGUACUGCGUUCCAUCCAUCAUCGCCUUGAUCAGUCUGGUCAUCUUCCCGGAAAAGCCGUUCUCGUAUAGAUGGUGCUUAGGGACUUGAUGUUCUUGACAUUUUCGAAGGAUUUGCCGUAAUUUGUAUUCAGUAGUAUUCAGGAUUCAAUUUGUAAGCGGCAUUUAGGAUAAUGAUCGUUCGGUAGUUCUCACAGUCCAAUUUCUCGCCCUUCUUGUCGAUGGGGCAGGGGCAUAUUACCCUAUCCUUCCACUCCUCCGGUGGCUGUUCUGGGUCCCAGAUCCGGACCAUCAAUUGGUGUAAAGCGUGAUACGGUCAAAAUUUGUUCAUCGACAAACGCGUGUAAAUCGGUGAAAUCGUUCAUUUAAAAAUCAAAUUAAAUUACUUUUUCAAGUUUAAUUAGUAUAAAAUUCAGGAAAAAUAUUCAGUUAGGCUUCCGCUUUUCCAAAUCCGAAUUGCCGGGCCUUACGCUUAACCCCUGCCAUCAGAUUUUGUACAGCCACCUUUUCCACCUUCUUCGCCGCAGAAAGCCAGUUUGCCUUGAACUGCUGCUCGUCCUUAGCAGUUUUUUUGGUCUUCUUUAGGUUCCGCUUGACAAUAGCCCAGUAUUUCUCAAUUGGGCGGAGCUCUGGCGUGUUGGGAGGGUUCUUGUCCUUGGGAACCACAUGCACGUUGUUGGCGGCGUACCACUCCAUGGCCUUUUUACCGUAAUGGCAAGAUGCCAAAUCCGGCCAAACAGUACGGAACAACCGUGUUUCUUCAGGAAAGGCAGCAGACGUUUAUUCAAAUACUCUUUCACUUAAAUUUCUUGGUUGACAGUUCCGGAAGCUAUGAAAAUGCUGCUUUUCAAGCCACAGGUUUAGAUGGCUUGCCAAACCAGAUAUUUCUUCGCGAACUUUGACAGUUUCAUGUGCUUGAAAAUAUCUGCUACCUUUCCCCUUCCUUUUGUCGUAUAAAACUCCUGUCCCGGAAACUGCUUGUAGUCGGCUUUGACGUAGGUUUCGUCGUCCAUUACCACGCAGUCAAACUUCGUCAGCAUCGUCGUGUACAGCCUCCGCGAUCGCGCUUUGGCCGUCGUAUUUUGUUUAUCAUCGCGAUUUGGAGUCACUACCUUCUUGUAAGUCGAUAGUCCGGCUCGUUUUUUGGCUCGAUGCAUGGUUGAAGACGAUACACCCAGCUUAUUUGCGGCAUCUCGGAGAGAGAGGUUAGAGUUUCGCUUGAAACUACCGGCAACUCUCUUUGUCGUCUCAGCGGCUUCCGGUUUUCGAUUUCCCCCCGAUCCAGAAUUCCUGGCUGUCGACAAACGUUCCUCAAACACUUUAAUUACAUUUGUAACGAUUGAUUUGGCAACUUUUAGCGAUUUUGCCAGUUUGCGUGCGAGUAGCUCGGAUUUUCGCGAUGCGCAAGCAAAAUUUUGAUACGCUGCUCUUCUUCCUUGGACGGCAUUUUGACAACUGAAGAGUGAAUUCCAAAAUCAAAAUAGGAGCAACAUUCUACACACACACCUUCAAGAUGAGGAGUGUUCAGGUUUUUAAAAUGCAAAAUUGAAAGAAAUACGUCAAGUUGAUAUUGACCAAAUUUUGACCGUAUCACCCUUUUGGCAAUCGCCGAGCCCAUUUUGAUGAGUUCAGCUGCGAUGCCACCCUUCCCAGCCGACUUUUCGCUAUUCAGCUGGCGAAUGGCUUCCUAAACUUCACUCAUCUUUUGGAGUGGCUCCUCUAGGUCGUUGGCUACGCCACAGUCCUGAUCUCAUACAUGUGCGCCAUUCAGGUGUUCAUCGAAGUGCUGAUUCCACCUUCUGAUCAGCUCAAGAUGCAUCCGUCCUUUGCGAGCCUUUGCGAGAUGCGUUAAGUUUCUGAUAGAACUUUCGUGUUUCCUGGGAACGAUGCAGCUGCUCAGCUCCUCGAGGCGGCGCUUUUAUUCUUGAAAACUCGGACUCGCUACCUACUACGUACGGAGGAGGUGAAAUCUAUUAGUCUGAGGCCGUCAGCUGGUGCGCACUGAACCUUCCAAUUGUCGAUUUGAAUUCCUCCUCCUCCUGGCCAACCUGAACGUUAAAAUCCCGGAUGACGAAUUUGAUAUCAUGCCGUCUUUGUCGUCACCGGUACUUCCGAGGUGAGGGCUGUGCACGUUGAUGAUGCUGAUGUUGAAGAACCGGCACUUGAUUCUCAAACGGCACAUUCGUGGGUCGAUCGGCAACCACAGCGCUACGAUGUCGAAUUUACGACUCUUCAAUUCGUUGGAGAUCGGCAGUUCCAUGUUCCAAGUUUCCAAUCGCUGGUCCCUUUUCGUUGCGUGGGUCUUUGCCGAUUUCCAUCCGAAAUUCUUUGUUCCUGUGCGCGUUGGGUCUUAUUUUGGAUCAAAACCUGUGAUUAAAACCAGGGCCACCGGUGCCAAUAGAGAAUCCUGCAAUACAAAGCUCUUUUGACUUGCUCAGUUGAAACUUGGGUGAGGACAAUGUAUACAUGAGCCAUGGAUUAUACAUGAGCCAUGAAUAAAUUAAUUUAAAUUUUCACUUUUAAGGGAGUUUUGUAAAUGUAUUUUUAGUGUGAUUUUGGGUUCAGUGUAAAGAAUACUAAACAUUGUUACUUGAUACUUGUAUACAUAGUAAUUUUCAAUGCAGUUGAAAUCCGAAAUUUUGGCGCUGGUGAUUGGCAACCUUGCCAACCAGCGACGAUAAAAAAUGUCAUAUCAAUUCAGCAAACACCUCAGCAAUCGGCAACCCUUUCUGUUGUUUGGUUCCGACAAUUGGACGAUGUUUUAUAGAUAUCUGGUCAACAUGAAAUGUGAAUGUCGCCGGCGCUGAUGUUGAUGAAAACUCCGAUUUGGGGAUUUAGCGAAAAUCUUUAAGAGCAUUUUUAUUUAUAUCAAAAUGAUUCAUGUGUUUGCCAAAAUUAAGGUUUAAAUUUUCCCAGACUUUCUGUUGAAUUUUUUUUCGUGAAUAGUUCGUCUGUUCUAUGACAUGGCUAAAUCCCAGCGAAGAUUUUUUCGGUUCCAAAUUGUUAUUGAAAACCAACUGUUUCUUUUGCACCUGGAAGAACGUGACCCAGCCUGGAAUUUUUUAUCGGCUAAUUGUCGUAUUAGAAGCUUAUGCUUAUCGUCACGCCACAAACUUCCAUGUACAGGUUGUAGCCUUGGAAAAUUAUAGAGUCCUCUAGCCUGUUGAUUUCCUCCUGUACCCAAUAACAAUCCAAUGGAUUUCCCUGCACUGAUAUCUGGAAAGCCACAUGAUAGCUAGCUCUCAAGUGUGGCAUAACUGACUGGAGGCUCACUAUUCCGUUGCCAUUGAGUCCAAGAAAUCUUAAAUUUGGCAUGUGAAUCUGGUCCAGGAAUUUUAAAUCGCUUAUAUAAUUGUAGCUUAAAGACAGCACUUCUAUUACUGGUAACUCCAUCUUCUUCUCGAUCGUAAUAUUGCUUAAACUAUUGCUUUCCAAACUUAAUGUUUUCAAAGCUACGAAAGUUUCGAAUUCGCUCAUAUUGACAACUGUUAUUUUAUUGAAGUUCAUGUGCAAAUGCUGAACGUUGUUGAUAACUGGUAAUUUUUUAGGAAGCUCUGUUAUUUGAUUAUAAGAUAAAUCCAAAUGCUCAAGCUUCGGAACAGUCCAUCCGCCAAACUCAGGCAUUGUAAGUUUGAACUUAUUAAUGCAUAUUGUAGUCAACUGUAGAUUUUCAAUAGAAGUUACGUCCAUGUUGCAUCCUUUGAGAUCCAAAGUUUCUGCCUGGAGCAUGGAAAAAUCAUUCAGCGAAACUUCAUCUUCUUCUGAAUCGGCGAUUAUCAAUUUCCCCAGACGGUUCAUUUGAGUUAAAACAUUCGGAAGCCAACCGAAAGAACAAUUUCUUACUUCGAGUGAUUUGAGUUGAAUUUCGGACUUUUCCGGCAGCAAAAAUUCUUCUAUUUCCGUUCCGGUUAUUUCCAAAUGUUCCAGUCCGGUGGGGAGGUAGAAACUUGAUAAGAUGCACCUGCGAAGAAUCAGGAAUUUCAGCGAGGAGCCAAUUGAAUCGAAGAGCUGUUGGGAGGGUUGAACGAUGACUAUGUUUUGAAGUUCGGCCGAGUAAACCUGUAUCUCGAAUUGCGGGGGCCAUUGGAAGGAAGGAUUGAUGAAAUUUACAUCAUAUUUUUUACAGCCAAGGGGUUUAAGAAAAGGGCACACAGUUAUGAUACCGCUGUUGAAUCGUGUAAUUGACAGCAAGAAUCUAGAGGGAAAAAGAAUUUUCUAGAAUGUUCUUUUUUGUUGUAUAGGGCAGAUGUUCAAUACUUACACAAUGGUGCCACAUAGUCGCAUUCCGAAAAAAAAUUUCAAACAAAAAUUCUUUGAUCACUUCAAAUGUAUGAGCCGAAGUACGAACGACGACUAACGGCUCGUGGUCAAUGUGAAUGAACGAUAAUGAUGCAACCAGCUGUAUGAUAGGCCACUUUAUCCACUGAUUGUAGAAAAAAAAAAUCCAAACUGUUAUUAAAAAUCAUUCAUAACAUUUUUCAACAAAACUGUUGUCGAAUAAAAUGAAUUUGAUUUGCUCUCAAAUGUUUCAAAUUUUAGUAAAAUUCUUCUAUGAAUCUAAUUACAAACAAUACAAUAAAAUUUCUGCUUCCCGGAACAAUAUCGUUAGUUAGUCUUGUCAGAUGAAGAGCUUUUCAUCGAAGCCGUUUGCAGGAACUAUGCUACGGCCAAGAUUAGGAACAGGGGAGAUUGAGAGUAGCUCAGUUGAUAAUUUUAAAGCAUUUCUCUAUUGACAAAAAAUAUAUUUACAGCGCUGUAUACAAGGAGACAUACAUUGCUUCACACACACAUUGCUUUUCACGAAAGUGUACGUUACAGGCAGGCUAGAAUUCCAGAAAAAAGAAGUCAAUCUUGCCUUAGGGGCCAACUACUUUUUUCGGGGAUUUUCAUCCGGUUGGAUGAUUCCUUCCGUCCCAGGGGACAACUGUGCUUAUCCUUAUCUAGUUUUUUCAAAAGGUGGAAAUUUUACUUCAAACCUUUUAUGGAAGCUGGCGAUUAAAACUUUUCUCUGGUUCUGACGAUUUUAAAAUUAUGUUUUUUGAGUAUGCAGACACAAAUUGAACCGAAACUUUGACUAGUGACCAUUUUUGAAGAGGAAAAGCAUGAGUUCUGUACAUUGAGAAAUUACUGUUUAUCACAAACAGUAUUCUCUUGGAUUUUGUACAAAAUUGAUAACCUCGAUCAAUAACGGAGUUGAAACAAACAUUGGUGAUGUAGAAGUCGUUCUGCUUAUACACGCCAGCAAUCUUGGGAUUCGAAAUGUAUGAACUAAAAAGAAACAUUUAAAAAAGCUUUAUCAUUAGAAUGGAUAUUCAUAAAAAAAAAAAACUAUGCAUUUGUAAAACAUUUCGAGUACAAAGAUUGAAGAUGGAAAUUGUUAGAGUAACCAAGUUAGUCUUGAUCACUAAUAGCAAGUUCACUGGUGUUGGGAAAAAGUGGUAGAAAUUUUGACAUUUUGAAAAUUUUACCAUGUAAAAAUGUUUUCAAGAUCUCUGGGCGUUGUAUUUUUUUACUGCACUGUUUCUAUUUCAGCCGUAUGUGAUAGAAAUAUUGCUAUUUUUGCAUCACAGCAUGCGAAACUACAACACGUGUUGGUAAAAAACUUGAAGGCCACAGAUCUUGAAAAUGUUUUUGCAUGGCAAAAUUUUCGAAAUGUGCUAAAAGUGAAAGAAUUUCUAACACUUUUUCCCAACACCAGUGAACUUGCUCUAACGAUGAAAGCCAUGUUAGGAAAAUAAAACUUUAAUUGUUACCAGACUGCCAAACACUUUAGACGUCUUUUAAUAGGCGAUGGAAGCUCUGCCGAAUUUGGGUGAUGGUUUCACAUUAGUGCAAGUGGGAUGCAGCUAAAAUUUCACCCAACUUUUGACAGAUCUUACGGGUUUUUCUUAAGGAGAGAUAGAAUAAUUUUUCGAUUCCAUCACCCAUUACUGCGUUCAUCAGGUUAUGCGCCCACCCUCUGACCUGUGAGUUCUGGUAUAACGAUGGAAAGCGAAGAUUCCAAGAAAUGGCUUUUCGAUGGGACCAACAUCGACAAUUGGUUGUUCCGGAUGCAAAUCCUAGGAACCGUAUGCAAGGGAUUUGGCCACGACACACCGGAAGUACGGACUGCGAAGGCCGCGAAGCGUGCUGAAAGGUUACAGCGAGAUCAUCAAUGUAAAUCGGUGUUUGUUCAUCGGAUUGCCGAAAGCCAGCUUGAGUACGUGAAGGACAAGCGUUCUGCAAAAGAUAUGUGGGACACUUUGAAGAACACGUUACAACGGAAAGGUUUCGGCAGCCAAAUUUUUCUCCGCCGGAAACUGCUGACGAUGAAGCUACAUAAAGAAGUCGAGUUCCAAAUCCACCUACUGAAAUUCGACAAGGUUUCGCGAGAUUUGAGGAGCAAAAAUCGACGAACAAGAUGCAAUUUGUUAUUUGCUGCUGGCCCACCCCUCCAUCCUAAGACGCAUUGGUGACCGCCCUGGAUACUGUGAAACAACAAGAAACCCUACAAGGAACUCAUUGGCUGUCUGACCUAUCUAACCGUUUCGACAAGGCCUUACAUCAGUGCAGCCGUUUUCAAGCAUCUCCAACCGAAAUUCACAGCACUCAUCUGAGGUAUCUGAAAGGCACUUCGGACAUUGUUUUGGUCUAUCAACGCCAGUAAGAGAUGGAAUCCUUGGUUGGAUAUGCCGAUGCUGAUUGGGGAAGCAACGACGACAGAAAAUCGAUUUCUGGUAUUCCAGAUCUAUGCAUCAACGGUGUCCUGGGCUACCAAGAAGCAAACCACUAUUGCCUUAUCAUCAACAGCAGCAGAGUACGUGUCAAUAAGCCAAGCUGCCUGUGAAGCUGUAUGGCUGCGCAAUCUACUAACGGAACUCUGAACCGUUUUUAAGACUCCUCCUGCCUUAUAUGAAGAUAACCAAUCUUGUAUCCGAGUAACUGGGGAGCCCCGAGACCACAAGCGGUUAAAACACAUUGACAUACGUUACAACUUCAUCCGAGAGUGUGUGCAGAAUGGAACCAUCAAGCCGGUGUAUGUUGCCUCGAAGGAUCAAGUAGCAGACAUCUUUACUAAAGGCCUUACCAGAGGACCGUUCCAGUACCUGUGUAUGAAGCUCGGAUUACUUGGUUAAGCGAGGGUGUUAGAGUAACCAAGUUUGCCUUGAUUACUGACGAAGAAAGCCAUGUCAGGAAAAUAAAACUUUAGUUGUUAUCAGACUACCAAACACUUCAGACGUCUUUUAGUUACUGCGUUCAUCAGGAGUCAAGCUGAACUAAGCUGAGCUAAGGUGGAAAUUUGACUCCAAACCAUCACACUGGGUGAAUUUGACGAUUAGGUGGGGGCGGUGGGGGUAUCCUACACACGUUCGCGGCGAACCCAUGACCUCCACUACGCAGAAGAUGAUGACUUAGCUUUGAAGUUUCGAUCAAGGGACCGGGCGCACACUACUCAGAUGCUCCCCGGCGAUGGAGUCAUCGUUGACUCCAGCUCCUCUGCAGGGCUGUCAUAAUCGCUGGCCGCAUGCUAAGUGUUGGCCCACAGACGGCAAGUAUGUUGGUACGGACCGUCGCCAACCUCGGACAGGCAAACACCACGUGUUCAGGUGUUUCCUCUUCGUCACCACAAUCUGGGCAAUAUGGCGAAGCCACAUGUCCAAACCGGUAAAAGUACUCUAUAUGGAAGUCCACUUCACCGUGUCUUCUUCCGAUCCAGCUCCCGGUGUGCGGAAUCAGACGAUGGGUCCACCUUCCUUUCGCUGAGCUGUUCCACUGCUGCAGCUGCCAGUUAGACAUUGAGUUCUCGGCGACGAGGACUGUGAACGCUGCUAAGUCUCUGCAGGUUAAACUGUCUUCCCAGGGCCUGCCUCCAGGCCGCUGCUCCGUAUCGCAAGAUUGACGUGGUCACGAUUGACAGUAUCCUCCUCUUGCUACUGCGGAUUACCGAGGAGUUCGACAUCAUCCGUGUGAGUGCGGCCGUGGUCAUUGCCGCUCUCUUACACACGUAAUCGACAUGACUCGUGAAGCUGAGUCUGUCGUCGAUCAUGACCCAUAGGUACUUAAUUGCGCGUUUGGACACAAUAUCACAUGGUCCAAAGGGUCCAAUGGUACCUGCUUGGGGUGAGAUCAGGUUGGUGAUCAGCACCAUCUCGGUUUUGUGGUGGGUUAGACACAGGCACUUGGAGCGCAUCCAGCUUUCCACUGCGUGGAAAGCUACUGUGUACCUCCGGUGUAGAGGAGCCUCUCGCCAAGAGGACUACAUCAUUCACAAAUCCUACGAGUUCAGCUCCCGAUGGGAGCUCGUCGUACAUGAUGCUUCACAAGACCGAGCCAAGUAUUGACCCCUGUGGCACACCCACCGAGACCUCUUGUGUCCGUAUGCCCUUAUCGGUCAUGAACUGUAGUUGGCGAUUGUGGAAAUAACUUUCCAGAAGCCGAUACAGAUAUGCCGGGACCCUCAUUUGAAUGAGCGACGACGCAAUCGCUAGCCAACUGACGCUGCCCAGCAAACAUAACAUCGCAUUAGAAAUGUCAGCUCAACUCGUAAACAAUGUUAAUGCGAAUCGUAAUUCCUACCAAACCAAGUAAAUGAUCGUAAAAAUGGUUAGUUGAAGUCUACCAACUCGGAUAUGACAAAAUUCCGCCAUGUUUGCAAAUAUGUCUCCCGCAUGCGGGAUUCAAGUGAGAAAACAACCUUGUUGUUCUCUCUGCGAUGAGCAGUGCAACCAGAUUUCUAAAAAUCAGAGGGUCCAUUUGGUUAAACUGUCCAAUGAGAGAAGCAGCAAAUAUUGUCGCUGGCAACGGUUUGCAUGCGUUGAGAGCAAAACUUGCGCUCUCUCGCAUACUGUCAGGAUGUACGGUAAAAGGUGUUGUAUAUCGUCCAUUUUUACAACACUUAUCGCAUAAGCCAGAAGUUAAAAAUAUGUAUGUAUAUUGCCUCCACUUUAGUACGUAAAUGCUGUUUUUUCGAGUUAUAUAAGAUGAUUUUAUAAUGUAUAUGAAACGUAUAGCAAAGUUUGUUGAGAAAUAUACCUACAAAAAUGUUUGCUGGGUGUUGAAUACGUUCUUCACGUCCAGAGCCACCACCGCUCAAAAGCGGAGCCCUCUUCUCUUCAUUAGCUUGGCUCUGUCUGCUUUCUCAAUUACAGAGCGGUUGGCAUCUACGGUACUGCGUCCUCUACGGAAGCAUUCAGUGUACCUCUAGAGUCGAUUCUAGAUCACCUUCUCCAGGACCUUACCUGCUGUGUCCAGUAAACAGAUCGGCCGGUACGCCGAUGGGUCUCCUGGAGGCUUACCCGGUUUUGACAGAAGGACUUAUUUCUGCUGCUUCCAUGUAUCAGGAAAAACCCGUUCCGUCACAUAUCGUUGCAAUGAUGGCCGUAUGUAUUGAGAAUGCAUCGAAGGUUAUCGAUUCUUUGGCCUGUAUUAUGAUGAAGUCGAGAGGAGGCAUCCCCUAUCGAAACUUAUAACCAUUUUUUAGGUCUUCUCAAGGUCGCCCAAUAUUUUUCGAUUUGGCGAAAUUCUGGUGUACUGGGAAAGUUCUUAUCCUCGGGCACAAUCUGAAUGUUGUUAGCGGCAUACCACUCCAUGGCCUUUUUGCCAUAAUGGCAGGAUGCCAAGUCCGGUCAAAACAGCUCAGACAAGUCAUGUUUUUUUUUGAGGAAAGGCUGCGAACGCUUUUGCUUUUUCACGUAAAUGUUGCUUUUCAAGCCAAAGGUACAGAUAGCUUAUAUACCAAACGAGAUAUUUCUUGGCAAGCUUUGAUAGUUAAAUAACGCUUGAAGCUUGAAAAUGUUUGCCAACUCCCCCCUUCAUGUUGCUGUACAACUGCAACUAUGUGGUUUAUCUAUAGGUGGGAACGAAUGUGGUGGAAAGAGAGGUGAUGAGAAAGAAACGUUGCAAAAGUACAAGUAAAGUUUUUUCUUCGUAAACAUAGUUACCAUGACAGAAGUGACGUCACUACCGACCAUUUUCGCGACGCAUUUUUCCUUGGAUAAGCGACGCAGGGCUUGUUUAUGUUUAUUUUUUCUCUCCGUCGUGCAAUAGUGUGCGUUCCUUUGCGCCACCUUAGUAAAAGUGUACCUCAUUGGGUGGGAACAACCAAAAAUAUUAGUUCGUUGUAUCCAUACAGUUGUUUAUGAACGAUUGUGACGUAAAGCCUAGUCCACACUAGGAGACGGUUCGUCUCGAGACGGUCUCAGCGUCUCCAAUUUUCUUCGGGAGACACUGAGACCGUCCCAGGUUUCCAACAACAACAACAGACAACAAAGUUCGUUUCAUAACAAAAAUCGCAGUUCAUGUUGCCUAGUGUGGACUAAGCUUAAGGCGACGCCAUCACGGAGUCAAGUAUAAGGCGUCCACAUGUAACCAUAGAAACUUAUUAGGAGGAAUGUUUGGGACGCAAAUAAAGUUGUUUAUUAUUUUGAACUCAUAGCGUUGCCGUACUGGGCGUUAGGAAGAAAAAGCGUAAAUUAAAGGGUGCUUUGAUUGUGUUUUUUAAAUAACAUAAAACGUUGCAUUCGUUCCACAUCACUCGCCACAAGCGGUAGUGUUUCGUUGCUCCUGCUAGUGUUCCGUAAAUAGCAUAGUGUGUGAAGAAUUUUGCCCUGAUCAUCCGGAUGUGUGUUCCGUUAGGGCACUCUGUUAUCAGAUAUACCCGAAAGUGAUAAAGUUUUGUGCGCGGCAUCGCAGAAGACCAUCAUCAGCCGAAAACAAAAGGCCCCGCUGUUGUAUACGAUUGCCAGCCAGCAAGAACAACCUCUCGUCCGACCGGUUCGAUAACACCGGAAAGAAGGCUGGCCAGGAAGACAAUACCUGAGGUAGCUAACGAAACCACGCUACAGGAAGCCACCACCAACCCAAGACGGAAAUCUGUACUCGAGAGUGACCCUACACAAUCCUCUUUCCUUUCCUCUAGUUAAAUUAAUUAACAGUUGAGUAGCCGCGACGAUUACGGCCCCCCUCUUACUAACAUCACACAAAAGUGAAAUCAAUACUCGGCACAAAAAAACUUUAUGAGUUAAAUGCCUUAAUAAAACUACUUGUUAAUAAAAAAAAAAAAAUAAAACGUUGCAUGUCGUAGAUGAAUGGCGACUUCAACGUCGAGGCGCUCAUGAACGUUUGUGACGUAGCAAUCAAAACAUUGAAAAAAAACUAAUUCUCACACUCGUGGAAGGGUAGACUUGUUCCCACCUAUAGAUAAACCACAUAGGUUGUACACAAUGCUUUUGUCCAGGAAGCUGUCCAAAGUCUCCCUUGGUGUAGGAUUUGUCAUAAACACCCUUUUAUGACCGUACAAAAUUUGCAUGUUUUUUAGGGGGUGAUCCCAAACUUAUGGCCAGCAGUGUAGGUGUUAUGAGCGGGUAAAACGCAAUGAGGUACAUACAAAAAUAAAAAUUUAUACAGGUUGGGUAAAACGGACACUCCGUAGAUAAGGUGAACUUGACCUGAACACAAUUCGAACAUGUACAUACCUUACUGUUGGGAAUUAAGCAUUUCAGGAUAAUUUUGAACACAAAAGGUUUCAGGGAGGCAUCUGGAGUCACACGGAUGAGAUAUUUAAAACACCUGAGAAAAUUUCUUUGUCCGUUUUACCCUAUCUUGGUGUGUCGACCUUGAUUGACCUAAAAAUUUUUCAAUCGAUCGUUACUCAAGCUCUUGUACAUUACAAAUCUAUAAGAAAUCAGGAAUUUCUGCAUUUAAUCAGGUAACACGUUUUAUUUUUCUAAACAAUUUGAGCGCUAAUGGAUUGAAACCAAUGAUUCGAUGGUGUUAAUGUUAGCAACAUUGCUACUUAUUAGUAGAUAGCUUCAAAUUAUGUUGUUCGAGUCGACACAAUAGUAUCAACAUAUGUUUUGCAAAUGUAAACGAUGAACGACAUAUAGAGGUGGAGGAACGAGUAAAUGUUUAAUAACGAUAAUGGUGUCGUGAAAUAACUAUUAGGUCCAAUAAUUACAAAAAUCUAGCAAGAGAAAAAAACGUACUACAAAUAAUUCUACAUUUAAAUUGGAAAAAAUUAAAAUAAAUAAUCUUAGAAUGCGGAAUCAACUCAAAUGUUCUUAAAUAUUCGUUUUGUUAGAAUUAACUGAUUUUUAAAUGAAAAAUUUGUGUUCAAUUACGUAAUUAAGUAUUUCUGAAGCUGCAAGUUUAUGUUCCACUGAAAAACGUACGUAUUUGUUAGUGUUUUAUCAAUAUAUGAUCCUGGAUUUUGAAUCAACGUUUCAUAGGUACGUACUUGAGUUAAUCAACAUGUAUAUGAGAAUCAACAGAUCGCAAUCUAUAGAUAGAUGAAACAUAUCCUUUUCAAACCAAACUAGUAUCUAAACUUACAACUUUACACUCGAAUUUGCCACACCAUAGUACCUAUAGCUUUUUGUUCACAAGAACCAUACAUUUUAUAAAAAUCUUAACUAGGAAAAUCAAACAAAACAUUUGCAUUCGAUAGAAUUGCCAGAAAAUAGUAACACCUUUCGAGUUCGAAUUUCCCAUAUCUCUUUAUAAACUUGCCAUGUUCUCUUCCUUUCAAUAUAAUAAUAAAAGAAAAUUAAAACAAUCAAUAAAGACCCGUAUCGCAAUACAAUAAAAUAUAAGACAUUUGACCACACGAAAAAAAAACUGACAAUAAAGCAAAUUUUUUAACCUUACAUUUUUUCCACUGUUUAUAUUCUAAAUAGAUAAAAAACCCUCAAGGUUGCAUUUUUUACCUGAUUCUUGCAAACGCCGCGAAACUUUUUGAUAAGCCAAACAUUUAUAAAAGAAACAGAGUAGAGACUAAAUAAACUGUACCGAAAUGGUGGCAAUAAUAAGCCGUGUGGUUUUAAACCACGGAAACUGUGACCGGAAGUUGUCUACUGGAUUAGAGAAAAUUUGAAGAACAAAUAAAAUCGUGCUUAGGAAAAAGACAAUUCCAAAAUUGUAGCGUAUGUUGAGUAAGAUAAUAAACCAGUUGAAAUAUUG